GGGAGCGUGAGGAGCCAAGGAAUCUGCCUCCAGGAUGCUGCAGCUGGCCUCGGCUCGGGACGGCCUGCUCACUGCCCUCCUGCCUCCACCCUCCCCAGUGGACCCCCGAGUGGCCCCGCUGUGUUUCCCCACCAUACUCCAUCAGUCCCAGCCUUGACUGAAGCCCAGCUCCCUGGGGCGGCAUUCUCGGGGGGAGGAGCCCGCAGGCACCAUCGCUCCCCUUUGAGUUUUCUGCUGAUGUACAGCCGACACCAUCCCCGCUUCUGC